CCUGCUUCCGAUUCUGUGUCUCCCUCUCUCUCUGGCCCUCUCCCGUUCAUGCUCUGUCUCUCUCUGUCUCAAAAAUAAAUAAACGUUAAAAAAUAAAAAAAUAAAGGGGCCCAUCGCCAGGCUGGUCACAGUAACAGUAGCUAAUGCCAUAAUUAUAUGGCAUCCAAUACAACGAUAAAAGUUCCUGGAGUGUCCAUCUGGUCCACACCAGGCAGAGCGUGGGGUACAGGGAAGUACCAAGAUGAGUCAAACGGGAUCCUUCAAGGACGUCUCCAUCUGGCCUCCACGGAGGCACUCACAGCUAACUCGAAAUAAUUCAGUAAUGAAUGCACGCCCAGCUUCCCUAAGCUUUAUGCUGGGGGCCAAGCGGCUAGGCAGGAGAAGGGCGCUGAGGAAGGAACAUUCGCUGCCUUCAAGGAUCAUGGCACACCGAGGAAGUGAUGUCAGAGGGGGGGCCUUGCGGAGGCUGGAAUUUUCAGCAGUGGUAAGAUGGCAUUUCAGGAAGGCCAAGAGCUCGAGCAGAGACCUAGAGGUGUUGCAGUGCCCGGGGUGUCUGACGUGUGGUCAGCUGCGCCUGGAGGAGAGAGCGGGUGGGCGGAGGAACUAGGGAUGAGGCCAGAAAGCCAAGCGGAUAAAGAGACUGUGGUCACAGCCUCCGAAGAGCCAAAGAGCGGUCUUUUAAGAGAAUGAAUGAACUGUUGCAGCCUGGAGAGUUGCAAUUUCCAAGACUUCUGCAGCCUGAGGAGCUGGGUGGUCUCUGGGCUCACCAGGAACAGGCGCCUCUUCUGGGAGCGCUCUACCGCCCUCUGCUGGCAACCCGAAGUAACACCGCUACAGCCCGUGAGCCCUGUGGUGGGCUGGUGGGGUAGCCACGGAGAAAUUCUUCACGCUGAACUCAGCAUUGCCAAGGUCGUAUGCACUGCCCCUCCAGCGAUGCCUGCACGCAAGGGGCAUGAACCUCAGCAGCAGUUGGAGAGCUGCCCACAAGGGUCUUUGAGCUUUCCUAUUUUCUGGAAUUCUGACCCAUUACGGUAGCCACCACCACCCCCUUCCUGCUGAGAAGAGGUCUCACAGGGUCCACGCACCUGCCUGCGUACCCCAUCGUGCUUCCAGCCAAGAGAGGAAUGGUGACUUUGGGCGGGGCUCGUCACUGGAGCAAGAAGGGGACGUCCCCGGACAGGGCUUAGAGUGUCGUGGAAUCCGAGAUUCAGGAAGGGAAGCCGCUUUACGGACAAAGAGCUCGUCCCUCCCCAUCCCUCUACCCUUUCCCUACCAGGAGGUCCUCGGCUCAUGGUUGCAUGCCCACAGUGACGGGGAGCUCACUAUCUGAUGAAGCAGGCCCUGCUGUUUCCAGAAGGUUCCGACUCAAAGUGCUUCUUUCUCCCAUCCUUAAUCUGCCUCAUUCCGUCUCCUGUACCUGCGUCUUGGAUCUGGUGAGGGCUUCCUCCUCCCCAGAACGGCCUCCAAGUGUUUGAGGAGAAGGAGCAGGUCCCCCGAGUGGUCCCCUUUCUAUGGAAGUUUGAUUAAUUAGGACUCUUUCUGUUGCAAGUGCUAACAAGAGGGAUUUGUGGGCACCUCCCCGGGGAGGGCCGGGCGCCGCUGGCUCUUGGAGAGCGAACGAUACCAUCAGGGUGCCGUUGAUGUCUGGGCAUCCCUUUGCCCCGGCCAAGCUGCCUUCACUCCAUCCUGCCCGCAGCAGAAAGAGGCCACCUCUUCUGAUGGCCCUGGGGCACUGGUCAGGGUUAGCUACAGUUUCAGAGCGACUGAAAUUGGAGGUGGCUCAAGCAGGAUGCCCAGGCACCGGUCAGAGGUGAAAGGCUCAGAGAUCCAGUCCACCUGAGGGCUGGGGGCCAACAUUCUCAAAUUUCUAGCCCCGGGUGCCCUGAGGUCCAUGGCCAGGAGCCUGGGGUGUCUACAAAGCCACAGGAUGAGCCUGGCACCUUCCUGGAGAGUUGAUUUUCUUCAGUGGAAGUGAUUUAAAGCACUAUUUUUAGAUUAAACAAAACCGGAAGCACCGUG